GCCAAAAGUUAUUUUGACCUCUUUUUUGAAAGAUGUUGGCUUUGGGGCUUUGGUAGGUGUCGAGCCGAAUUAGAAGUAGGGCCUUCCAUGGGAUCUCAGGCAGACCAUACAGGAAGCUGUAUUGAGGCUUGAGCUACAGCUAACGUGCGGUGGAGAGGACCGCAUUUCUAUCUUUCAUUUAUAUUUUACCCAAUAGAGAAAGAAAAAAAGGAAAAAAAAAAAAAAAAAACUCAAUCGGCCUUUGCUCCCGGAGAGGCACGCCGGUGGUGGCCGAACGCCAGCCGCCGCCCCCUCCCUGGUUGAACGUGAAGCCGAUGGUUUGGCCGUUGUCUCUUUCAUGUUCGACAUGCAGACACAUACAAACACGACCUUCCUGGAUCUCUGCUUGUUCGCAUCAAAGCUAGGAAAUGUUUGCUUCGCUUUCUGUUCUUCUGAUGGAGCUCCCCCGGCUCCGGCAUCGACAAGGUGAGCUGUUUGACGAGGCUGUGAUGAUAAAUGGCGGAAGAGAAAUUAAGAGUAAUCAGGCCGAAAAUCAGAGAACUGUCCGUAUCUUGGCGUGGUCGCUCUGGGGGAGAGCUGCAGCCAUGGCGGGGUUCCUUUCCUGUCGAUUUGCCUGAGGAAAUAUCGAUCUGAGCCUCUUCUUAGGAUUUGCUUUAAGUGGGCGUUUGGUAGCAUUAGCUCUGAUUUGCAGGUGGUGAUGUGAUUAUUGAUGUACUUUGGUCACCUGCCUCCUGUGCUGGAAUCCUUCAUCAUUUGAUCAAGCAUGUAAUCGUGCGUGCAAACUGAAGCAUUAUCUGCAAAUGACGAGUAUCCCCCAUUCCGAUAUCAAAAUGGCAAUCUUCGAGUCUUUGAUGGUUACAUGUAUUGAAAUGGAAAUGUGAGGUAAUAUCCUCAGGGAAGUGGCCGUUCUUGGCUUGGCGAUGCUGGAGCAUCUCGCAGCCAUCGCGGGGUUCCAUCUUCGGUUCCUCAGUUUCCCUUUGUAAAAAUACCACCAAUAAGAGCUUUUCUAAAUACAAUUUACCACUUAGAAGAAAUGCUGUCAUCCACAAGCUUCCUUCCAGCAAAUCUUUAGUUUGUUUCGCAGCUCAAUUUGCUGCUCAUUGUAAGCUCAAUUUUUUUAAAAAUGUAGCUCUACCUCUGGAUAAGCUGCUGGCAUUUCAACUCCGAAAAAACAAAUCACGUGUUUUGAGGGUAACUUCAAAUUUGAACUUUUGAAAGUUAAGAAAAACCACUUCUUUUCCCCCCUAACCUAGUUUAUGAUAACUAUGGUUAUGAUGAUAAUGAUAAUGAUAAUGAUGAUGACGAUGGUGGUGGUGAGGAGGAGGAGGAUGAUAGUUGUUCAUGAUACUUUGUGAUGCGUAUUCACUUUGUUGUCACCUGAGUACGUUACAAUUUAGUCCAUGGUUUGGCUGUGGCUGAUGGCGUCAGACAGAGUUCAAGGGGGUUUUGCUCUCGGUGGGGGCAUGGCAGCUUACACUAUUAUCCGAACUGAUGGAGCAUAUGAUCUCUGAAACUCUUGAUUAUGAGCCUGUCAUGAUUCAGGAAGAAAACUAAAAUUAUGAGUGAAAUAUAGUGAACUGCCUAUAUCUUGGCCAAGCAGCUCUCAUCGAUGAAUUGCAGCCAUGGCAGUAUUCUUCCCUCCUUUCUGAUGCUGCUGCUCCUCUUCCUCCUCCACCUCCCAUAGAACUGGCUUUGCUCCCAGAGAAGCUGGCAGCUGUCUGUUUUACUUCCAUUGGUGGCCUCCUGCACCCAACAGGUAGCUGCCCUUCUCUGGUUAGAGACGGAGCCAAUGAUGAAUUCUUGGGAAUUUGAUUCUUUCUAAAUAUCCAAUUUUCAAAAUCUGGCCAGAUUUCUCUGGUACCUGAGAACAAUGGAACAAUGGACCAAUGGGAACAUAUAUUAUGUAUGGAUAUUUUUUAUGUAUACUUCAACCGGGGAAAAAAAAUUCAACCUACUGAACUGGUAUAUUGCAGCUGCAAUUUGAUCAUUGUCAUCAAUCAUCGUUGUCUGCGUCUAUAUAUGUGAGGUUCAGCUCAAAUGCAUUUGCAUGAAAAAUGAGAAGAAACAUUGAGGAGGCUAUGAGGAUUUUUUGAGUAAAGAAAAUUAUCAGAAACUUUCUGGCACAGAGAGCUGUCCGUAGCUUGGCAUGGCAGCUAGAAAAUGCUGCAGCCAUGGCGGAGCUCCUUCAAUUGUCUGAUCAAAAUCUGAAUCUGAGCCUCUGAAAAGGAAAGUGUCGGGAGCUUUCUGAAGUCUCUCUUUGGUUAAGUACUUUUUUGGUCCGUAAAUUUUAGCCGGUUUUCCCUUUUUUUGGGUAAGUGUGAAGUGAAUGAGCAUUCGACAGGCUGAUCACUUUCAAUGGGGAACUUUGUAGCCGAGGAAAGUAUUGUAUGUACUGUAGCUUAGGUGCGUUACCCUGGACACCUUUAAGAGGGUUACUGGUGGCAGCUCAAUGAGCAGCCGCCUCCCCCCCCUUUGAACUAUGCGACCGGGGGCUGCACUUCUCUGGUUGGAGGUGGAGCUGAUGAUUUUUGAGGAACUUUGUUUUCUUCUUUGAUCAGUGGCUUCGCAAAAGGCGAAGCAUGCAGUGGAGGAUUGAAUUUACGACCUUGUGGGUUUUCAACAUUUCACCAACUCAACCCACUACACAAAAAAAAUACAUAUUUCCUAAGUCAAAAAUUUUAACUUUAACUCAACACACUACACAACAUUUGUCAUUUACCACAAUCAAAAUCAAAAUUAUUUUUACUCUGAAACCAAACGCAUUGGUAUAUUCUGUAAGAGUUGGAGCUCAAUGUUAUCUAUGAAGGGGUGACAGGGAAAUGGACCUGCCUGCUGCAUGGCAUGGUGGCUCCAAAAAGCUGCAGCCACAGCAAAGCUCCUUCUAUUUCUAUGAUCAAAAAUCAAAUGGAAGCCUCAGCAACUGAAAUUGGCUCUUUCUUGGCUCUUUCAGAAGGUGUCCCUGCUCCAGAGAUGCUGGCGGCUUUGUGUUCCUAUUAUUUGCCAAACAGUUGCCCUUCCCUAGUUUGUUCAUUAGUUUAAGAUUGAGGGUUUGCUCUUCGAAAAGGCCUUAAAGUGGCCAUCUUUAGUUGAUGGUGGAGGCCGGUUUAGAGAUCGUUAGAUUGCAAAUUUAGGCUUGAUUUGUAAUGUUGUUGCUUACGGGAAGUAGUACGCAUGUUAAAUUGUUGAGAAGUAAUCAUUGAUUUCAUGAAAAGCUAAAAUGUUUCUUGUGGACACUAAUUUGGAAUUGCUGAAAUCAAAUGUGGAUGAUCCCUUGAUUUUGAAUAUAUAGUAUAAGUAGAAAUAGUUUUCAUUGCAUCUGUUAAAAUGAUGAAAAACAGGAAAGUAUAUGUUGGGACCAUCCACUGCAUUCCCAAAAGUCUUAAACCUAUUUCCGGUACUGAAAGUUGGCUCAAGAAUUUUCUUCUUGUGAGAGUUUGAAAUAGCUAUAACUGAUUGUUUUAGAAGGUUAACCUUGUUAUAAAAAGCAUAAGCUUGAGAGAUGAAGAUGUGAAUUACAUUAUAGUAUACCUUAAUCUCAUCAUCAUCUUCAUCUCUGGCACCAAACAGGAGCUAUAAUCUGCUAUUUUUUCCCACAAAAAAAAAAACACCAAAGAGUACUAGAGUAAAAGGAUUUGCCAGGAUGAAAAAUUGGAAAGUUUGCAGUGACUUGGCAUGUCGUCUUCAUACAGCUGCAGCCAGAGCAGCUCCUCCUAUUGGCUGAACAAAGCUGAUCUCAGAGAGGCGCACGGUCUGGUCAACUGCUGCUGAUAAUACCCAACAGGCUGCUGUUGAUGAGAGAGACAAAGCAGGUGAUGCAGAGGCAAAGAAUAAUGCCGAGAACAAAGUGAUCAGUAAUCAGCACCUGGAAGCCGUUGAGAACUGAAGAGACGGAGCAAGCGUCUGAAACUCCUGAUGCCUAGUAGGACGGAGACUGUUGCGACUCAAAAGAUUGAGAAUGAAGCUCCUUCUUCUGCAAGGACCGAGACACCCUUAGAAUCAUUUAGACCAAACAUGAAUGUCUGGCUUGUAAAAGGUGGUGGGUCAGCAACUGAACCAGAAACAUCAGGACCAACGAUCCCUUGAGCUUCGGUAUCAUUAAUCUUCAGCGAUUCUUUCUCAUAAAUGAAAAAGAAUGAUUCAAAGGCUUUGAAUGGUUGUUUCGUGUGCCAUACACUACUUUGGGAACUAAGCCUCUACUAUACCUUUCUACAGAAGAGUUGCUUUGUAGAUUAUAGCAGUACUUUAGUGCCUUUUCUUAUGCUGUUUAUUGUACAUAAUAAUUGUUAACUCCAUAUAGUUACCUCUUUUGCUGUGAACUUGAGAGAGUGGUCCUUUAAUUCUUUCCCACUUCGGAAGGUCGAAGCCUGACAUGGAUGACGGAACAAGCAAUGCCUCCAUUUUUGUAGGGACAUGGACUAUGAUUCUGUUCGUCUUCCAGGUGCAGAUAUCUUUGGAGUUGUCAAGAAGUUUUUUAAAGGGAUCAAAGAGCAUGGGAGGACUAUUAUGACAGGUCUUUAGUGUCUGGUCCUCAGGUGAAUGCUCUCCUGCUUAUAGAGAUCGAUAAAUGGCUUGCUCCAAUGCUCUGUUGUAUGUAUAUAUGCUAAAUUCUUCCGUUUAUACACUUGUCUAUUUCGCGAUCCCAUGGGAACAAAGUUUUGGAGGUCUCAAAUGUAUUUUUUAGGGGUAAAGGGAUGAGAUUUUGCUUACAGUGGAGAGGAAUAGUUUGCUGCUUUCGUUUAUGGAGUUUUCCCCUUAAUGGUAAUACCUCUAACAAUUUGCUCUAGGACUGCCUCCACUCUUGGUCUGUUCAUCAUUCCAUGUUCGAAACAGCUUUCGAACUUCUCGACAUGAGCGGUGACAGCCUGAUUAGACUUAAGUGCCGAGGCACGUGAACAAGGAGACCCAACUGUGUUAACUGUUCUGACCGGGAAAAAAAAAUAAAAAUGUAGAAAAUUCGCGGGAUUUUUCUCAUGGCGUUCGUUGUAACUGUUCAAAUAUUGAGAUAAAUUUGAAAUUGACAGAAAAUAUAGGGACUUUUACGCAAUAAAUUUAUUCUCUAUUAUGAUUAGCCUCAGCUGCUAUGAGUGCUAAUAAAUAGCUUCAUCUGCUCGAAGCGGGGGGGGGGUCAAGGUUUUGGGUUGACUCGUACAGACGCACACUCCGCUAGGAAUGAGGCUUGUCUCUCUUCCCUGAGCUGAGCCCGUGAUUUCCCCCCGAACCCUAACCCUCUCUCUCUCUCUCUCUCUCUCUCUCUCUCUUUCUGUGACGAUCGGCUCGACAAUGGAUCGAACUGGAAAACUCUGAUUUUCCCAAAGAAAAUUGAUUUAUGGAAGUUGUGCGGUGAUGGGAACAGCAGCUCUGUCUCUGCUAUCUAUCUAUCGAUCUAUCUAGCUAUACAUCGAUACAUAUAUAUACACACACACACACACACAUAUAAAAGCUAGCUUUUUCAACAAUGCAUAUGGAAGCAGACCGGAUGGAAGAUCUAUCAUUUCUUUUUCUUUCUUUUUCUUUUCCAUGUUAUGCAAAAAUCGCCCCCUCGGGAGGACCUUAUCGGUUCUUCCGAACGCUGAAAUGGACGCUGGAACGAGGCUGUGAUGAUCAUAGGUUCAGGAGUGUGUGUGCAGGAUGCCGCCACCGGGGAAGGCGGCAGCAGUGGUUGGUUCCCUCAUGGCAAGGCAGUACCGGAUGGCUCGUGAGGUACAGAGAAAGGAAGAGAGAGAGAGAGAGAGAGAUGGAUCUAACCAUCUGGUUUUAUAAAAGCGGAAAAACUGCAAGUUCUUUUUACUCUCACGAGCAACCGGCCGCUGCAGCCAUGGCGGUUCCGCGACCGUCGACCCCCUUUUGGUUCGCCUGAAAGGUUAGAUCUGAGCCUUCCUCAACAUCACUAAUCUCCUUCGUUUGUGCAUGUGCUGAUUGUAGAUCUGGUGUCAUUCUUCUCAGCUAAAUCUGCCCAUUUUAAGAGCUCGGGCAAUAUUUUUGCCUCGGUUAGAACCUCGCUAGCUGCGUCCUUGCCCCAAUCAAAGAUCAAUCCAAUUAUGUUUUAGAAAGAUUUCGGCAUUCAUGGGUGAUUCCUGUAUCCUCGGUGGACUUCUAGAGAUCGGGAUUCCGAGUUUGAUACCUGUGGUGGGACUAUCGUGUUGCUGUGUUUCCCUUUCCCUUGAAAGUGUAACCGAAGAAUAAAAAGAGAGAGGAGGAGAUGGGAGGCGGCACAUGCUGAAUUGGCGUGUCAGUUUCAUCUCAUUUUCUCCUAUCAACGUGGGUUGGUGAAAGCGGUUCAACCCUUCAAGGUCUCGAGUGAGAGUCCUUGUGAAUUGAGAAAAUCAAAUCCGUAGAUCGGGAGGGAUUUAUCCUUAGUUGGCCGAUUCGGUUUGAAUCUCGAUUAGUCUGAGCCCAUUGAACUUUUUGGAUAUUAGGCGUCCACAUCGGAAAAAAAAAAAAUCUCUGAUGGCUUUGCUCUCAGGGGGUUUUGCUGGCCUCCGCAUUGGUGUUUGUCUGGCCCCCUCUGAUGGAUUGCGGAGCCUGUUAUCUGUCUGUGUUUUACCUUCUCGCCCAGGUGAGUGAAUCAGAAGUAGAAACCAAAGCAGCAUAUGAUGAACUAACUAUCCAUCGAGCUCCCCCCGGCUCAAAGACUGGCAAGUAGGUGAGGCGAAAGGGCUGUGAUGACAUGAGAUGAGUGUGAAGCUAUAACGAAUGAUAUAGCAGGACAGGGUGGGAGGCAAAGAGAACUGUCCGUAGCUUGGCAUGGCGGCUCCGGGGGUCGUUCCGCAGCCAUGGCGGGGUUCCCAAAAUAGCCUCAUGUCCUUUUCCUCUAUAUGUGCAUGAGAAGGAAAAGAGUACACACUCAGCAGAUCUGAGCCCUCAA